UCAAGUGACUAAGUGCAUGUGGCGGAUGCCUUGGCGAUCACAGGCGAAGAAAGACGCGGCAGCCUGCGAAAAGCUGCGGGGAGCUGGCAAACGAGCUUUGAUCCGCAGAUAUCUGAAUGGGGGAACCCACACCGCAAGGUGUAUCCGUGACUGAAUACAUAGGUUACGGAGGCGAACGAGGAGAACUGAAACAUCUAAGUAUCCUCAGGAAAAGAAAUCAACCGAGAUUCCGGCAGUAGCGGCGAGCGAACCCGGAGGAGCCUAGCUUUUGAUAGUACGAACUUUAGCCGAAAGGUCCUGGAAAGGCCUGCUAUAGUGGGUGAUAGCCCCGUAGGCGAAAGAGUUCGUACGGUACUAAGGAAGCGAGAAGUAGAGCGGGACACGUGGAAUCCUGUUCGAAGAUGGGGGGACCAUCCUCCAAGGCUAAAUACUCGUGAUCGACCGAUAGUGAACCAGUACCGUGAGGGAAAGGCGAAAAGAACCCCGGGAGGGGAGUGAAAUAGAACCUGAAACCGCAUGCAUACAAACAGUAGGAGCCUCGUCAGAGGUGACUGCGUACCUUUUGCAUAAUGGGUCAGCGACUUACAUUCUGUGGCGAGCUUAACCGAAUAGGGGAGGCGCAGCGAAAGCGAGUUCGAAAUGAGCGUCCAGUCGCAGGGUGUAGACCCGAAACCAGAUGAGCUAUCCAUGGCCAGGUUGAAGGUGUGGUAACACACACUGGAGGACCGAACCGACUAGUGUUGCAAAAUUAGCGGAUGAGCUGUGGAUAGGGGUGAAAGGCCAAACAAAUCUGGAGAUAGCUGGUUCUCCCCGAAAACUAUUGAGGUAGUGCCUCGUGUGUCGCUCCAGGGGGUAGAGCACUGUUUUGGCUAGGGGGACAUGGAGUCUUACCAAACCAAGGCAAACUCCGAAUACCUGGAAGCGUGAGCACGGGAGACAGAGCACCGGGUGCUAACGUCCGGACUCAAAAGGGAAACAACCCAGACCGCCGGCUAAGGUCCCCAAUAACAGCUAAGUGGAAAACGAAGUGGAAAGGCCGUGACAACCAGGAAGUUGGCUUAGAAGCAGCCAUCCUUCAAAGAAAGCGUAAUAGCUCACUGGUCGAGUCCUUCUGCGCGGAAGAUGUAACGGGGCUAAGCUGUUAACCGAAGCCGCGGAUGCACUGAUUAUUCAGUGCGUGGUAGGGGAGCGUUCUGUAAGUCUGCGAAGGCGGUUCGAGAGGACUGCUGGAGAUAUCAGAAGUGCGAAUGCUGACAUGAGUAACGUUAAAGCAGGUGAAAAGCCUGCUCGCCGUAAGCCCAAGGAUUCCUGCUCUACGUUCAUCGGAGCAGGGUGAGUCGGCUCCUAAGGUCAGGCCGAAAGGCGUAGCCGAUGGGAAUCAGGUUAAUAUUCCUGAACCUGCGUCAGAUGCGAUGGGGGGACGGAGCAUGAAAGAUCAUCCGGGUGUUGGAUGUCCCGGUUGACGAGCGUAGGAGGUCUGCAGGCAAAUCCGCAGACGCAUCUCCAAGGCGAAGUCACGUGCCGCCACGGCGGCGAAGUGAUCGGAAGUGCUUCCAAGAAAAGCCUCUAAGCACCAGUCUGACGCGGACCGUACCGCAAACCGACACUGGUGGGCGAGCUGAAUAUGCUCAGGCGCUUGAGAGAACUCGGGAGAAGGAACUCGGCAAAUUGACACCGUAACUUCGGAAGAAGGUGUGCCGUAGUACCGUGAGAGGAGAGACACCUUGAGCGGGAAUCGGUCUCAGAGAAUAGGUGGCUGCGACUGUUUAUUAAAAACACAGCACUCUGCAAAGUCGAAAGACGACGUAUAGGGUGUGAUGCCUGCCCGGUGCUGGAAGAUUAAUUGAUGGGGUGAGAGCCCUUGAUCGAAGUCCCAGUAAACGGCGGCCGUAACUAUAACGGUCCUAAGGUAGCGAAAUUCCUUGUCGGGU
rnacentral:rRNA from 1 species